rnacentral:tRNA from 2 species
GCCGGCAUAGCUCAGAUGGUAGAGCAGCUGAUUUGUAAUCAGAAGGUCGUGGGUUCGAUUCCUACUGUCGGCACCA